UUGGAGGGCAAGUCUGGUGCCAGCAGCCGCGGUAAUUCCAGCUCCAAUAGCGUAUAUUAAAGUUGUUGCAGUUAAAAAGCUCGUAGUUGAAUUUCGGGAUCAAUUUAUUGGUCGUGCAAUAGUACGUACUGAUUUUAUUGAUUCCUCUCUUCUGAAGAACUAUGAUGUCAUUAAUUUGGUGUCAUAGGGAAGCAGGACUGUUACUUUGAAAAAAUUAGAGUGUUUAAAGCAGGCUCACGCUUGAAUACAUUAGCAUGGAAUAACGAAAUAGGACGUUUGAUUCUAUUUUGUUGGUUUCUAGGAUCGACGUAAUGAUUAAUAGGGAUAGUUGGGGGCAUUAGUAUUCAAUUGUCAGAGGUGAAAUUCUUGGAUUUAUUGAAGACUAACUACUGCGAAAGCAUUUGCCAAGGAUGUUUUCAUUAAUCAAGAACGAAAGUUAGGGGAUCGAAGACGAUCAGAUACCGUCGUAGUCUUAACCAUAAACUAUGCCGACUAGGGAUCGGAUGAUGUUAAAUUAAUGACUCAUUCGGCGCCUUACGGGAAAC
rnacentral:rRNA from 1 species